GCAAGAUACCACGGGCGCACGGCGGAUGCCUUGGCACAGGGAGCCGAUGAAGGACGCGGCAAGCUGCGAUAAUCCCCGGCGAGGAGCACACAUCCUUCGACCCGGGGGUCUCCGAAUGGGCGAACCCAUCCACAGCAGUGUGGAUAUCCCGACCCUGAACGCAUAGGGGCCGGGAGGACAACCCGGGGAACUGAAACAUCUAAGUACCCGGAGGAGAGGAAAUCAAUCUCGAGACUCCCCGAGUAGCGGCGAGCGAAAGGGGACCGAUGGCCAAACCGUCGAGCGGGCGUACCCGGCAGGGGUUCCGCCGACGGGGUUGCAGGGCCGCGCAUCCGGGGGCUGCCGCCCCCGGGCGCAGGUCCGGCUGGGGAGCGGAACGGCAUGGGAGGGCCGGCCGCAGCGGGUGACAGCCCCGUACGCGAACCCAGACCGGACGGCGCGACGCGGUCCCUGAGUAGGGCCGGGCACGUGAAACCCGGUCCGAACCUGGGUGGACCACCAUCCAAGCCUGAGUACUACCCUGUGACCGAUAGCGCACCAGUACCGUGAGGGAAAGGUGAAAAGCACCCCGGGAGGGGAGUGAAACAGUACCUGAAACCGUGCGCCCACGAGCAGUCGGAGCACCUAUAUGGUGUGACGGCGUGCCUUUUGUAGAAUGAGCCAGCGAGUCGCUGGCGCGGGGCGAGGUUAACCGAAAGGGAGCCGUAGCGAAAGCGAGCCUUAACAGGGCGACUUGAGUCCCGCGCCGCGGACGCGAAGCCGGGUGAGCUAUCCGUGGGCAGGCUGAAGCGGGGGUAAGACCCCGUGGAGGGCCGAACGCACGUCGGUUGAAAACGGCGGCGAUGACCUGCGGAUAGGGGUGAAAGGCCAAUCAAACCCGGAGAUAUCUCGUUCUCCCCGAAAUAGCUUUAGGGCUAGCGUCGCGCGUUCACCGCCGGAGGUAGAGCACCGGAUGGACGAGGGGGCUUCGCCGCCUACCGAAUCCAACCGAACUCCGAAUGCCGGCGGCCCAGAGCGCGGCAGUCAGAGCAUGUGGGCUAAGCUGUGUGCUCGAGAGGGAAACAGCCCGGACCGCCCGCUAAGGUCCCCAAGUUCCAGCCGAGUGGCAAAGGAUGUGCGUCCGCCCAGACAACCAGGAUGUUGGCUUAGAAGCAGCCAUCCAUUCAAAGAGUGCGUAACAGCUCACUGGUCGAGUGGACAUGCGCCGACAAUACACGGGGCUAAGCUGGACACCGAAGCGGCGGGAUUUUAUCUAUAUAGAAUCGGUAGGGGAGCUUCCCAUGGGCGGGGAAGCCGCCGGGCGACCGGCGGUGGAGCGCAUGGGAGUGAGAAUGCUGGCAUGAGUAGCGAGAGACGAGAGAGUAACUCGUCCGCCGUGAACCCGAGGUUUCCUGGGCAAGGCUAAUCCUCCCAGGGUCAGUCGGGGGCUAAGGCGAGGCCGGGAGGCGUAGCCGACGCGCAGCAGGCAGACAUUCCUGCACCGCGCACGCGGCGCUACGACCGACGGGGCGACGGAUGGGGGUGGCUCGGCGGGGUUCUGGACGUCCCCGUGAUGGAGCGCGGCCCGCGGACCAGGGAAAUCCGGUCCGCAUGAAGGGCGAGGCUCCGGACGAAGCGACUGAGCGAAGCGAGUGAGCCCGAGGUCCCUAGAAAAACCCCUAGGCAGGCGCGUGCGCGCCCGUACCGCAAACCGACACAGGUGGGUGGGUAGAACAUACCGAGGCGAUCGGGUCAACCAUGGUCAAGGAACUCGGCACAAUGGCCCCGUAACUUCGGGAGAAGGGGUGCCCGCGCGUACGUGAACGGACUUGCUCCGGGAGCGGAGGCGGGCCGCAGUGGAGAGGCCCAAGCGACUGUUUACCAAAAACACAGGACUCUGCAGAAGCCGCAAGGCGACGUAUAGGGUCUGACGCCUGCCCGGUGCCGGAAGGUCACGCGGAGGAGUUAGCCGUUAAGGCGAAGCCCCGAAGCCAAGCCCCGGUAAACGGCGGCCGUAACUAUAACGGUCCUAAGGUAGCGAAAUUCCUUGUCGGGUAAGUUCCGACCUGC
rnacentral:rRNA from 1 species